UGGAACAAGUCUUCUUAUUCUUCAGAAAUAUAGGUGGAUAAUCUCGGAACUUCUCCCAGACUCCUGUGUUCUGUUGUGUUCUUCAUUUGCUUUGAUUGGAUUAUAGGCAGAUGGACUACAGAGAAAUAACACUAUAUGCUGGAAAAGUGCUUCAGCACUCUGAUCAUCUUUUUGGACCUCCUCUGGACUCACUUGAGCAG